rnacentral:rRNA from 1 species
GUGGGGAAUUUUGGACAAUGGGCGCAAGCCUGAUCCAGCAAUGCCGCGUGCAGGAAGAAGGCCUUCGGGUUGUAAACUGCUUUUGUCAGGGAAGAAAUCUUCUGGGCUAAUACCCCGGGAGGAUGACGGUACCUGAAGAAUAAGCACCGGCUAACUACGUGCCAGCAGCCGCGGUAAUACGUAGGGUGCGAGCGUUAAUCGGAAUUACUGGGCGUAAAGCGUGCGCAGGCGGCUUUGCAAGACAGAUGUGAAAUCCCCGGGCUCAACCUGGGAACUGCAUUUGUGACUGCAAGGCUAGAGUACGGCAGAGGGGGAUGGAAUUCCGCGUGUAGCAGUGAAAUGCGUAGAUAUGCGGAGGAACACCAAUGGCGAAGGCAAUCCCCUGGGCCUGUACUGACGCUCAUGCACGAAAGCGUGGGGAGCAAACAGG